rnacentral:rRNA from 1 species
UGCCUCAGUAACGGCGAGUGAAGCGGCAACAGCUCAAAUUUGAAAUCUGGCCUCACGGUCCGAGUUGUAAUUUGUAGAGGAUGCUUUUGGCGAGGUGCUUUCCGAGUUCCCUGGAACGGGACGCCAUAGAGGGUGAGAGCCCCGUACGGUAAGACCACCGAGCCUCUGUAAAGCUCCUUCGACGAGUCGAGUAGUUUGGGAAUGCUGCUCUAAAUGGGAGGUGUACGUCUUCUAAAGCUAAAUACCGGCCAGAGACCGAUAGCGCACAAGUAGAGUGAUCGAAAGAUGAAAAGCACUUUGAAAAGAGGGUUAAAAAGUACGUGAAAUUGUUGAAAGGGAAGCAUUCAUGACCAGACUUGGGCUUGGUUGAACAUCCGGCGUUCUCGCCGGUGCACUCUGCCAGUCCAGGCCAGCAUCAGUUUGCCCCGGGGGACAAAGGCGGUGGGAAUGUGGCUCCCUUCGGGGAGUGUUAUAGCCCGCCGUGUAAUGCCCUGGGGCGGACUGAGGAACGCGCUUCGGCACGGAUGCUGGCGUAAUGGUCAUCAAUGACCCGUCUUGAAACACGGACCAAGGAGUCGUCUUCGUAUGCGAGUGUUCGGGUGUCAAACCCCUACGCGUAAUGAAAGUGAACGU